UGGUUCAAAAAGACUAUAUUCACUAUAGUAUUUUUUUACCUUGGUGGUUACAUAUUCAUGGUUCGUGAUUUUACUUGUUGGUAUUUUAUUUCAUUGGUUACAUUUUACAAUACUGACCAAUGUUUUUGUGGAUUUUUAGAGGCAUAUUAUAUUGGGAGAUGCUCCGCUUUACUUAAUUUACUGCGAUGCAAAACGUGCUGCAACAAUUUCCACUGCCCAGUGUUCUUAAACCGACCAGACAGCACAAGUUGAAUGCACACCUUCAAAUUCUCUUCAAAGAGGCUGUUGUCUAUGGAGUAAAUUGACAAGCAGAAUCACCCCAGGACAAUGGAAGCUGAUCAAAAACAAGAAACAGUUGACCGGCUGUGUGGGAUCUUCAUGUUAAUGGAGCCACAGAUCACAGAAGACCUCUGCGCUGCAGAGGAACAACCAAAAGUCUUCAAGGGUUUAGUGAAAGAGCUGUGCUUUCUGAUGUUGAAAGAGGAAGACCAGGAAAAAGUCCUUCAACUUUCACAGGCUGAAACAGAUGACAGACAAAUGGCCAAAGAGCCUUUAGUGUUUUGCUUACAAAUUAAGGAUGAUAUGGACAUUUUUCUUAAUGAGUUUCUGGACAAAAACAGCCUUGUAAUUAAUCGCAUGUUUAUGGAGAUUUUUUUUUUUUUUUUUUUUAAGAUUUAAUUUGUCAUCAUGUACCUGCUGUUCAAUUUACACUCAAUUUGGUUUGAUUUUGUAAUUUUUUAGAGCAAAGCACAGCUAGUAGCUAUAUAAUGCUUUUGCUACUUAGAGGGAAAAGUACAUUUUAUUAAAAUUAAAUAAAUAACUUUUGUUUUAGGGUUUGAUGGAUCUGAAUUUGCUUAAUUCAUGCAAUCUAGUGUACAACCGUGUAAUGUGUAUUAUAUAUUAUGAAAAACAAUGGUUCGUUCUGAAAUGCUUGAGUAAAAUAUACAUUUUAUGACAAAUUAAUAAAUGUUUAUCAUUUUUAGUGUUUAAGCUUUGUGUUCAAUUUAUAUUCAGUUAAUUAU